rnacentral:snRNA from 1 species
GUACUUACCUGGAUGGGGUCAAUGGAUGAUCAAGAAGGUCCAUGGCCUAGGUUAGUGACCUCCAUUGCACUCAGGAGGGGUGCUCGCCUAAGGUCUACCCAAGCGGUGGAGCCUACAUCAUAAUUUGUGUUAGGGGGACUUGCGUUCGCGCAGUCCCCAC